rnacentral:rRNA from 1 species
UACAGAGGCCUCGAGCGUUAGGCGGAAUCACUGGGCUUAAAGCGUGUGUAGGCGGACUUCUAAGUGCCUUGUGAAAUCCCACGGCUCACCCGUGGAACUGCUGGGCAUACUGGGAGUCUUGAGCCACCUAGGAGCGAGCGGAACAAAUGGUGGAGCGGUGAAAUGCGUAGAUAUCAUUUGGAACGCCAACGGAGAAAUCAGCUCGCUGGGGGUGUGCUGACGCUGAGACACGAAAGCCAGGGGAGCGAACGGG